rnacentral:tRNA from 1 species
GCAUAGCUUAGGGGUAGAGCGCUUGCUCCUCGCAUGCAUGAAGCCCUGGGUUCAAUCUCCAGCACUGCA